rnacentral:rRNA from 1 species
UACGGGAGGUGCAAGCGUUGUUCGGAAUUACUGGGCGUAAAGAGCACGUAGGCGGGUUUGUAAGUCGGAUGUGAAAUCCCUGGGCUCAACCUGGGAAUGGCAUCCGAAACUGUGAAUCUUGAAUGUUUGAGGGGUUGGUGAAAUUCCUGGUGUAGGAGUGAAAUCCGUAGAGAUCAGGAGGAAUACCGGAGGCGAAGGCGACCAACUGGCAAUACAUUGACGCUGAGGUGCGAAAGCGUGGGGAGCAAACAGG